CACCUGCAAUAAUACAUACAUACAUAUACACACACACACACACACACACACACACAACUCAACAAACCAACACUUUCCGGAAUUUUUUGUACAAAGAAAAUGAUGUAAAACAAGUACCUAGCUAUUUGUAUACUUCAAUUAAAAUAGAACAAACUCAAAGAUAUAAUUAUUCAAGCUCAUUAGAAUUAAGGUGGUGUCUGCAAAAGCUUUUGACAAAGUGAUUUUGAGCUUUUUUGGGCUCAAAAUUAUUUUUGAAGUGUUUGCAGUACCAACUUUUGCUUCUACUUCUAUUAAAAUAAGCUGCUUUAAGGUAAAACAUAAAAAGCACCCCCGGACCAACUUCUCUAAAACAAGUUGCUGGAAAUUGAUUUUUCAUGAAAUCUCCAAACACGUUAAAAAUAAACACUUAUUAUUAACUAUACUCAUAAUAACCAACUUCCACUGAUUACUUUUUGAGCUUUUUUUUCGGCUCAAAAUCAUUUUUUAAGUGUUUGCAGUACCAACUUUUGCUUCUACUUCUCUUAAAAUAAGUUGUUUUAAGGUAAAACAUAAAAAGCACCCCCAGACCAACUUAUCUAAAACUAUAAGUUGCUGGAAAUUGAUUUUUCAUGAAAUUUGCAAACACACUCAACUGUUAAAAAUGAACACUUAUUAUUAAGUUCAAUCAUAAUCACCAACUUAUAUUUUUGAAAAGCUUUUGCAGACACCACCUAUAAUACUUGUUGACAUUGUGAUCCGAAUUCUAUAUUGGAUCUGACUCGAGAUCGAAGAUCCCGGUGCAACAUGUUAUGGUGAAUAGAAUUGAACGAAAUCUUUGGUUGUUUCUCUAUUUUAUUUCUUUGUCGAACUAUCUUAUAUUAUUAUAAAAGAAUACUAAACAAUAGUAUGGGUGGAAAUUGGAACUAAAUUUCCAAUUUCCAUUGAUCCCGAUCUGAAGUUUUUCGAUUAAGGAAUAAUAUUUUUUAUUUCGAAUUCCGGUUUUCGAUAUCUCUAAUAUAUUUUUUGAAUCGGAAUUGGAAUAAUUUCAAACAAUACCGAUUUUAAUUUGAGAAAAUAAUUUCGAAAGUUACACUUAUAACAUCAAAACUAUAUAUAGAUAACCGAAAAAUUGGAACUUUCCAAAUUACGUCGAUUGCGAUUAAAAAACUUCCGAUUGUAGAACAAAUCUUUUCGUUUCAAUUUCCAAAAUUAUGAGUUUCGAUGUUUGUAAAUUUUUUUGUAUUCAUAUUGGAAUUAAUUUUUCAUUUCCAAAAAAAAUCGAAUUUUUUUCAUAAGUGCAAACUCUAUCCCGAUCCGUAUUUCCACCCGUACUAAACACCAAUCAACUUAUCCAACUACCAACAACUAUGGCCAAUUAUUUCUAAAAUAGUCAAAUACUUCCCUUUUCAAAUGAAUCGAUAAUACUAGUAAACAAUAACAGAAUUUAACAACUAU
rnacentral:lncRNA from 1 species